UUAUCGGAGAGUUUGAUCCUGGCUCAGGACGAACGCUGGCGGCGUGCCUAAUACAUGCAAGUCGAGCGGACAGAUGGGAGCUUGCUCCCUGAUGUUAGCGG
rnacentral:rRNA from 3 species